GUUCUUCAGCCACUCCGCUUUCAAAGCAUUUCCUAUUGGCUAAAAGCUAUUUGACUUCUUUAGCAACGACCCUUUUCACCAAAACCCCAAACCCGGUUCUUUCAUUAUCCUCUAAUAAACCCAUAAACCUCUCUUUGUUAGCCCAAAGCACCAAAAAGUUCUCAUCUUUACAUAUAAUUCUACUCGUGGCUCAGACCGCAGAUUGGGCCCAACAAUAAAAAGAGGAAGAAGAGAAUCUGAGUUGGGAUAAUCAAUAGAUUGAGAGUUGUGUCGAUGUUGAGGAGAAUCUCGGUGGUAGGAGUGAAGAAGAGGAGUAUAGAGAGCCUUUCAAAUAGGUUUGCGGGCAGUCAUCUUAUGAUGUUGAUAGUGAAAAUCUGGCCCAGCUUUUUAACCAGGCUGGUAUUGUCGAGAUCUCUGAGAAUGUGAGCAGUAAGCCACCCAUAGAAGACAUAAGAGCUAGCAAUGUGAUGCUAGCUGAAACUUCAAGGCUUAGGAUUGUGGGAUGUGAUGGUGUCUUGCUAUGUCUUCAAUUCUUGGGUAGCUGAGGCUUUUUGGGUACAUGACUUGAAGCUGUUGGGAGGUCAGAGGGGGAAUAAAUUUGCGUUUUCUUAUUUGCUCAAGGCAUGUGGAACACUGGGAUGUUAGAAAGGUAUAUUCAUAGCCUAAUAAUUAAACAGUUUUUUCAUUUAGAUGUUUCAGCGGCUAGUGCACUCGUGUGGAAUUAUAGAUGAUGCUCACAGGGUCUUUGGUGCAAUGGCUAAAAAUCUUUCAUUUUUUUUCCUUUCAAGCUUUUGUAUUUGUUGGAAAUGCUUUGUCAAUCACAUACUCCAAAUGAGGUAGCAUCAUUGGUGUAUUUGAAUGUUUUAGUUCAGUAACAGACCACAUCUUAUUACAUUGACUUCAAUUAAUAGUGCACAUGCAUUCCAUAGCCUUCCUGGAGAAAGUAGAAAUGUUUUUGAGAAGAUGUUAUCUAGACAUUUAGAUACUUGUCUCAUUGACCCUCUUGCUCAGCCUGGUCUGCCACAUGAAGCUUAUGAUAUAUUAGCAUCAAUGCCUACAGAAGCUAGAUCUAACACUUUUGGAUAAAUUGUUGGGGCUUGUAAAAUUCUUGGAGAAGCAGGAUUAGCAGGAUGGGCUGAAAAGUUGUUCCACUUGAAGCAUGACAAGCUUGUCCUAACAUGUAAGCUUCUGAAGAGUAUUGAGAUUUUGAAAAAGGAUGGGGAACAAUUGUAAAAAUAAGUUUCCAGAUUGUAGCUGGAUGAAGGUUUGCUGGUCCUCGGUAUCAAGCGAUAAAUCCCAUCCACAAGCUGUAGACUUUUACGCUAUAUUGGUGAUAAUGUUGACCUUACCAUUUUGCUAGUGGGAUACAAUGGCAAGGUCUUUGUGCCUACCCAAGACAGCAAAGCCAACAUUUUCCCCGGAUUUGGUUGGGAUUCAGGCUGCUCUUAAGAUGCUGGCUGGCAAACGGGGAGUAGUUUUGUGGAUAGAAUUUCAGGAGACGAAAAAGGGUUGCGUUUUAUACUAGUCUUUAAUUAGAUAAAUAGUUUUUAUAAUAGCUCUUGUAUAGCAUUUGUAAUAGUGAUUGCAUAACUAAGAGAGAGAAGAAUUGGUUGCUACCUAGAGGAGAUAAGAGUGAGAGUUUUUUAAGCAUUGUAAUGGCACACUUACUAUAUAACCAUGCUUACUGUGCUGAGUACAAUCACCUCUUUUUUCUC